rnacentral:lncRNA from 1 species
AAUUGAAAGUUAUGCUGACUUUCAUAAAAAAUUUAUUCACCAGUUCGCUGGAUCGAAACACGUGAAAGUCACAUCAACCAGUCUUUUCUCUAUCCGCCAAAACCCUGGCGAGUCAUUGCGUAAUUUCCUCGCCAGAUUUAGCGAAGCUACCAUCAAAGUCUCAAAUCCAAAUCAGGAGAUGUUUGUGGCAGCCUUCCACAAUGGGCUAAGAGCGGGACAUUUC